CAGAGUAAAGUGAUGUGAACAGUAACAACAUCAGAAACAACAUCAUCAUCUAAAACAACAUCAGAGCUGCAGUAACACCUUCACAACCUAAAGCCUCCAGAAUGUGGCAGCACUUAACUCUUCACUCAGCCAGACAGAUCAUGAACUGCAGCAAAGCUGAGCUCUCCUGGAGACACCGGAGCAUCUGAAGAGUAGGCGCGUAACGUCGGGUCUCUGUGGAUGAUGAAGACUCGUCUCGGGGGUGCAGCCAUGCGGGAUGUCCUUACGCCACAUGAACAUCUUCACACAUUGUCGGAUUGAUGGAGACCAGAAGUCAUCGAUGAAGAAUUAAUGAUGGACAGUGGACAGACAAGAGCUGACGGGAAAUGAAUAUCUUGAUCAUUCAAAAAUGGAACCCCAGAACAAUGAAGGAUGCCGGUGGUGGAUGAUCAAGGAAGAAGUACGGCACAUCAUGCUCAGCAAAACGCAUGAAACACAAUCAAUUCAGCCAUUCCAAUGAUGCGGAAAAUCAGUGAUCCAAGGU